AACGAACGCUGGCGGCAGGCUUAACACAUGCAAGUCGAGCGCCCCGCAAGGGGAGCGGCAGACGGGUGAGUAACGCGUGGGAAUCUACCCAUCUCUACGGAAUAACGCAUGGAAACGUGUGCUAAUACCGUAUACGUCCUGCGGGAGAAAGAUUUAUCGGAGUUGGAUGAGCCCGCGUUGGAUUAGCUAGUUGGUGGGGUAAAGGCCUACCAAGGCGACGAUCCAUAGCUGGUCUGAGAGGAUGAUCAGCCACACUGGGACUGAGACACGGCGCAGACUCCUACGUGAGGCAGCAGUGGGGAAUAUUAGACAAUGGGGGCAAGCUUGAUCCAGCCAUGCCGCGUGAGGGAUGAAGGCCCUAGGGUUGUAAAGCUCUUUCACCGGUGAAGAUAAUGACGGUAACCGGAGAAGAAGCCCCGGCUAACUUCGUGCCAGCCGCCGCGGUAAUAC
rnacentral:rRNA from 1 species